AGAUCUUUGAUCUCCAGGUCAAAAGUCCAGAGUCUUCCUUUAUAAAAGAGGAAAUAGAGUCAUACUCUAUGCUAAUAUGAAUUAUGCAAAUCUGAAAGAAGACAAUGAGAAAGAAUACAGUUUCACUGAAUGAACAAAACUUGAAAUGAUGUAAAUCCUGCUUUAUUCCUAUGGGGGAAUUAGUCGUGAUUUAUGCGUGUACUAAAUUAUAUGAGGUCUUAGGGAACAUAUCCCUCAUAAAAGCAACCACGCUUUAUUCAUCCAUUCCUUCCUCCCUUCAUUGACAUAUUGUAUCUUAGUGAGUCCAAACUGGCUUCCUUGCCAAGAACUUACGAACCAUAGUCACAAUAAUCCAGCCAAGAAUAUUGCCAUGAGACUAUAGAUCUGUGGUUUGCAGACAGGCUUCUCCUGUUUACAAUCAGGACAUUCCAGUAUAAUGUUUAGUGGUAGUUCUUCAGUCGAUGGGAAGCCUUUUUAGAGAACUGCCAUAUCUUGCAGGUAGUUAGCCUUUAAAUAUAGUCAAAUGCAUUUAAAAUAAUUGGGCUUCCUUUAAAACAACAACAACAAUAACAGCAACAACUCAGACGAUGAGUUUGGGUACUUCUGGCCCUUACUUAUUUUUAAAUACAUGACUCCUUUUCCAGCGUGGCAUAUACAGUGAAGCCUGUCCAAAAACAUGAAAAGAUUAGGAAGAAAUAGAUUCAGAAAGUUUUAAAAUAGAUUUUUCUCCUUCUCACUCACAGUCAACCCACACUUGUUUUUCAGCGACUGCUAUGUGCCAAUCCGGAUAGGUGCCGAGAUGCCGACGAGAAAUGUGAUUCCUACCUUCCGGCGUGCUCACCUCCCCAAAUCUAGCUGUGGCGAUUCAUGGAUGUCUCACUGGCAGCUGGUGGAUCGUUCCCCAAACUUCUCAGUGGUAUCCUGGUGAACCCUUCGAAGGAAAUGCGCUCUCUUAUGCACUCAUCUUGUUUUGAGAAUGGAUGGACGAAACCGUCAAUGCAAGAAAGUCUUCUGCGUUUAUGGCCACCAUUUGGAGAUACUGUUCAUUAAGUUACUCGAGGACCCAGAGCCCGAUAUCUGACGACCCACACAAAAUCCUCUCAAAGCUCAGAGCCAGGAACCGGUGGGUUUCUGCUUAUUCAUUUUCCC
rnacentral:lncRNA from 1 species